rnacentral:rRNA from 1 species
UAGCGAAGGGGGCUAGCGUUGUUCGGAAUUACUGGGCGUAAAGCGCACGUAGGCGGAUACGUUAAGUCGAGGGGUGAAAUCCCGGGGCUCACCCCGGAACUGCCUUUGAUACUGGGUAUCUUGAGUCGGGAGAGGUGAGUGGAACUGCGAGUGUAGAGGUGAAAUUCGUAGAUAUUCGCAAGAACACCAGUGGCGAAGGCGGCUCACUGGACGACUGUUGACGCUGAGGUACGAAAGCGUGGGGAGCAAACAGGG